GAGCUGGGGGGUGGGGGGAGCUGCCUGGGGAGUUCUAGGGAAAGGAAGCUGGGGGAAGGGGCGGGGAGUGCACAGAGACAAAGCGGGCGCCCUCGCUCAGCCACGGGCAGCUGCGGCCCCCGGGGACAGCGGAGAGAAUAAGUUGGAAGGGUUCCGAGGGUCUUUGCCUUUCUGGGUCAGCCCGAGGCUAGGCUAGCUCGCGGGGUGGAGCGCCCACCGCGGGGGAAAGCAGCCCCGGGCGCUGUCCUGCGCUCAGGGGUGCCGGGACCCACGGGAUGCUCGGUAGAGUGGCCGCGACCAAGCUGGGGCACACACAGCCACACAGCCACUCACUGGGCUGGACACCCCAGCGGCAGGCAGAAGCCAGCUCCCGCGGAAGCAAGGGGAGAAGCUCAAGGCUGGACCUUGGGGGCACUGCAGAUUGCGCAAGUGGACACAAGGUUACUUGCUGGCCCGGGGCCAGCCUCCUGGUCCAGGCGCCUGCUGGGUGUCUUCCCUCCCCGCCCCAAGCCAGUGAAGAACCCGCGGCCGGACUCUGCCCCACGCGGAGCUGGAGCCGCAGCAACCCCGGCACAGCCCGGCCGGCCCACGUGUUUCGUAACCAAUCGCCAGGGCCGCUAGAUUCAAAGCAAACUCCUCCAAGGAGCAGUCCUGUCGCUUCCUCCCGGGCGCGUCUCAGACACCUUCGAGACCUGACCUCUCCUGGGUGUUCUAGGUUGGUGGGGUUUGGAGUUCAGUCGAGAAAUAGCCCAGCCACACACACUUAGAAGUCUCGAGAGCUUAGGGAAAAAAAAGGAACUCUAUCCUAAAAAAUAAAUUCACGUGGCUACCACUAUUUAUGACUCCCACUUCUGACAUUUUUUUGGCCAUGGGGCUGGUCUUUUGGCUGGCAGCUGAACUGUCACUUGGAGUCAGCUUUUAUUCUGCAUUUGAGACAGAAUCUAGGGACGAACUGUAGGGAUUGUUGGUCCAAACCCUUAUUGCACAGGUGAGGAAUGUGAGGUCUCGGCGAUGUGAAUGGCGUGGCGGAAGUCCUUGCACCCCCCAUAGUGGCCCAGCCAGCCCUGUGAGGGCUCCCUAGGUCGAAUCUGCCCUGUCCUCCCUCUUCCCCCGCGCUUCCUUGAAACACCGGGCGAAACAAUGGUUUAAACCGCCUAAGGAGACGCCACAUGGCGCUUCCUGAGACCACAGGCUGCUGAAACCAGUACGGUGGGUUCUUUAUCCCAGCCCCGCUGCUGGCUUUCUUUGCUGUUCCCUGGCUGAUAAAUUCUGCUCGUCGCAAAGAAAGACAGUGCCCUCUUAAGUCCUUCCUUAGCAUUAACUCGUCAGCCGCGCUGCAGCCUUGAAGAAUCUGUUUCCUAUUUUAGUUUUUUUUUGAUACAGAAUCUUGGCUCCAUUUUGCUUUACAAAGCCAGAAAAGCUCGACGGAUUCAAGCCACCUUGAACUGCUGCCGCCUAGGCGUAUGUGUAGAUACUUGAGCUGCUUGGCUGGGGAUUUUGCUGGGAGAAGCCACCUGGCAAAGGGCAGGCGACUGUUAAUAUUACAUUUACCAUCUGGAAGUUGCAGUGUCCACAACCGAGGAAACAGUGAAGCUGGCUUCUCUCUGUGGAGAGCUUGGCAAGGCAAGCAGGGCUGAAAGAAUGAUAAGUCCUGCUGUUACCCGCUGGUGUGUCUUCUCUACCUCAUGUUGCCGUUUCCCGUGCUUCCUUCCAAUCGAGAAAACAAAAUUGCAGCCUGCAAAACCCUGAAAUGAACUCAGUGAUGGUAUACAUUCCUUCAUCUGCUGCUGGAUGAUAAGCCACACAGGGUGAUGGAAUUUGUGUAUGUAGGUUAUACAAACUGGAAAAUGCUGAAAGACACAGGAACUAAACAUAACAUUUUAGAAAAGCAUGUGUUUCUCAUGGCCUUCCAACUGCAGUGGUUGGCUUGAGCCAGGGUCUGAAAACUCUUUAGACUGCUGGCCAGUUUCUAACGCCUUUCUCAAGGCUGGGAGUGGUUUCCAGGUUAGUGGAUUUAUGAUCACAGAAACUCAAACUGUGUCAUUUUUAUGGCAUCUCUUGGCCAAUGGCAAAAGUCAUUCUUUUUUUUUUUUUUUUUUUUUUGGCAAAAGUCAUUCUUAUCACCUUGCGUACAGGAAGCAAAGGUGAGUCCUGUGCGUGCACAGGAAGGAAGCUGCACAGGAUCGCGAUUAGCCUGGACCACAACAGACAGCCAAUAGCUGAGCAGGAACAAUCUCCGGAAAUGUGCUGCUUUAUACACAGCCAGAGCUUGGUUCCGGAUGUUAGUUAGGUUGGGCCUGCGGGCUCCCGGGAAACUGUCUUUGCCUGUCUUAGAACACAAACCAGGGGUUUUUUUAUUUUGUUUUAUUUUUGAAUGCUGUUAAAAAAAAAAAAAAUGUGCCCAAGGCUUUGGCCUUGUUAUCUUCCUUAACAAUGUUAUUUUGUUAGGCUGCAAAAUCAGCAGCAUGGGGUUAAAUGUGUUAGCUGCCUUCAAACCUAAUCUAUCUUCAUUCAUUCCUAAUUUGCACUCGGACUGAAUUAAUGAGAAUGAUUUAAUUAACACCAUACAACCACGGUACCAGGGACUGGACAGCUCAAGGGAUUAGACCAAACUGGGCCCAGCAGCUGCCACCCUGCCUCUUGCAGGUUCCCAAAGCCUUGCCCAAAUUCAGACAUGCCCCCUGCUGGGAUUCCAGAAGGGUCCUCCACUCUUUGCGUCCCUUCCUCAGGCUGUGUGAGGGAGACGGGAUAGCCCUUCUUCCUUGUGUUAUUUGCUACAUGGGCCCUGAGAACCAUGCCCAGCACAGUCAACAUGGUGGAGAGCCAAAUGCCUACCAAGGCUGUGAUGACUCAUCUUUAUUGUCAACCAGACUGCAUUUAAAGUCACCUAGGAGAGAUAGACCUCAGAGCAUGUCCCAGAGGGUAUUUUCAGAGAGUUUCAGUUGAGGAGACCUUGAAUGGAGACAGUGACAUCACUUGGGGUCCUGGUUUGAGGCUGAAUAAAUUGGGAGGGGCCGAGCUGACCACCAGCGUUCACCUCUCUCCGCCUCACUGAAGAUGCAGUGAUACAAGCUGCUCACACCUCGUAUUCCUAACCCCACCCCCAACAACACCAUCAGUAGCAAUAGUAACACCAGCAACAGAAGUAAGAGACACUCAGAAUCCCUGCUUUUCUUCUGGACAUCCAGCCAGGGACGCUGUCUCCCGGUCACGCAAAUGUGGAGAGGAAGGGAGAGAUAGGGAUGGGACUCCAACCCUGGGGGGGACCGGUGAGGCCGACGUCACCCACACGAAGUUUUCCCCAUUAGGAAGAGAUAACAAAGCUUGUGAAGUCUACCUCCGUCACAUGAUAAAGGCAGUCAGACUAGAGGAGGGACUGCAGCCCUUGCUACUUCCUUAGCAGAGGCUCUGAAGGAGGCCCAGGGCCACCAGGCAACUGUGAGGAUGGGUCCUUCAUUCCCAACAGAGGACCUGACGGCUUAGCACAGGCCCCCUUCAUCACCUCACCUACAGAAAAAGAAACCUAGAGACAGAACCUAAAAACUGUCAGUAGUCUUCUCAUUUCAAAAGGAGAGACUAACUGGGGUACUUAUUAACUAGAAAGAAAAGAUAAAUCAUCAGCACUGAGUAGGUCCCAGAACACAGUAGGUCAGUAAUCACAGAGCUUUCCAGGGAGAACAAGAGGCCUCAGUUGUCAGUCUGGUCUUUGUGUUUUCGUCUGCAUUUAUGCUCUUUAAGAAAUUAUCAUUUGUGUUAAGGACUUGUGCUAAAUAUAGAAGGUCUUGGGGCUGCUGAAAUUGGUUCGGUCUUACUUUAACACUUUAGCUGUUUAAGGUGCAUUGUGGGUGCCACCUUAUAUCUUGUGAAUUAAAUUGGUUACGGUGUGA